AGCAGAAGGGGAGCAGGUUCCAAGUCCUGAACAGCCCUGGGGAGAAGGGGAGCUCCAUUCCCUGCACGUGGAGAGGCUCCUGAGCCGUUUCCUGCCGGGCCUGGGUUAUGUUGGUUCACUUUGGCUCCUGCCCUGGAUGCCACUUCCAUGACAUCACUUGGAGUGGAGGAGCUGUUAACCCAGGGCAUGCUGCUGCUGUGAUUUUCCCAGGAUGGCAGAGGAGCUGUGGUGGGAUCCUGAGGAGAACACGGAAUUUUCUUGGCUCCCUGCUGGCAGUGCCAGGGCGGUGUUUGGCACCUCUGCAGGGCUGGCAGUGCCCCUGUCCCUCACCCAGGCUGGCAGUGCCCCUGUCCCUCUCGGGGCAUCCCGGGCUGCAGCAGCUCCUGCCCAGGUGCAGGAGGGAGGGAAGGAAGGAUGUGUUUUAUCAAAGUCAGUCCCUGCUGUUUGAGUUCCUGCUCUGCCGCUCGAUAUCAUCUCAAAACCAACACGGGAGGUAAACAAUGACUCUGCUUUGCUUCCAGUCCUUUCUCCUGCUCCUCUUAUUUAACUUUUCAGUUGCUCCAAGCGUGGCUGCAGCAGAUGUGAGGAUGUGUUUGGGGGAGCCUCUGCUGCCGAGCCCUUCCUGGAAUCCCGCAGAAGCCGAAAAGAGCAGGAAAUAUUUUUCUAAGGCAGCCGAAACGAGCCCUCCUUCAAUAAUAACCCAAGGUGUGAAAAACCCCUCUGGUAUUUAUGAGCAGAUGUGAUUCAGGACUAAUAAAGACCUGAGGAGCUCAUGGGCACCAGUGAAUCAUCUGCCAGAGAUGGUGAAGUUGUCAAGCUGAGCUCAUAUCGAACUGGUUCUGCGGUGGUGGCUGGUGGCACUGGGGACACUGAGCCAGUCCCAGGUGUCCCCAGGAGGAGCACAGACCUGGCUGCCACCGAAGGACUUCACCGGGAAGGAAACCUGAGCUGCCAGGAGCCAGGGCUGCGGCUGGGAGGAGGAAAUUGCUGUUUCUGCUGAGCCGUGCAGAGAAAACAAAUCUCACCCCCAGGAGCCGCCUUCAAAGGGAGAAAUUCCUGCCCUGGGAGCUGCCCAGGGCUCAGCCCUGGCACCCACGGGCUGGGGAGAGCCUGGAGGGACUCAGGGGAGGGGUUGGAUGGGAGGGAUCCCAAAGCUCAUCCAGUUCCAUGUUCCAGGCUGCUCCAAGCCCUGUCCAGCCUGACCUUGGGGUCCAGGGGCAUCCACACUGCUCUGGGAGUUCCAUUCCAGAGCCUCCCCCCACUCACUGAAUUCAACCUAAAUCCAGCCUAAAUCCUUCUCCAGACCCCCCCUGAGAUGAUGUUCCCUGGUCUCUCUU